AUGGCUAAUCAGGUGAAUGGUAAUGUGGUACAGUUAAAAGAAGAGGAAGAACCAGUGGAUGCUUCCAGUGUAACUCACACAGAACACUACAAGAUACUGAUAGAGGCAGGUCUCCCACAGAAGGUGGUGGAAAGACGAUGAAAUAUUUCGGACAGUAUUGGUAGCUUAUGUCGAUCUUGAUGAAGUAGCAAUUGAUGAUCUCAGGAGUUUAAUGAAGAAGGAGCUCCGUCUGUGCUGCAGCAGGUCAAGGAAAACGACCUUUCUCAUGUUCAGAACAAAAGCUCAUUUUUAUGUGGAGUUAUGAAGCCCUACAGGCAAAGAGAGAAACAGGGCAACAAAGUGCAAGAGUCCACAGAGGGACCUGAUGAAGCAAAGAUCAAGGUCUUACAUGAAAGGACUGGUUACACUCCAGAUGUAACAACAGGACAAAGAAGUGUGGUGGUCCUCCACCAGACAGCAUGUACUCUGGUGUGGAAUUGGAACAGAAGUCUUUGUAGGUAAAAUGCCAAGGGAUCUAUAUGAGAAUGAGUGGGUUCCCCUUUUUGAAAAAGCUGGCCCCAUUUGGGAUCUAUGCCUUAUGAUGGAUCCACUGUCUGGUCAGAACUGAGGGUAUGUAUUUGUCACCUUCAGUGGAAAGGAAGCUGCACAGGAAGCUGUUAAACUGUGUGACAAUUAUAAAAUUCACUCUGGGAAACACCUUGGAGUGUGUAUUUCUGUUGCAAACAACAGACUUUUCGUUGGAUCCAUCCUAUAGAAUAAGACUAAGGAAAACAUUCUAAAGAAUUCAGUAAAGUCACAGGUUUAACAGAGGGUUUGGUGGACGUUAUUCUGUGUCAUCAACCCGAUGACCAAAAGAAGAAUCAGGGGUUCUGCUUCCUUGAAUAUGAGGAUCACAAGUCAGCAGCACAAGCCAGAUGUCAGCUGAUGAGUGAAGAAGUACAAGUAUGGGGAAAUGUAGUUACAGAUGAAUGGGCUGACCCUGUGGAAGAACCAGAUCCAGACGUCAUGGCUAAGGUGAAAGUUUUAUUUGUGAGAAACUUGGCCACUACAGUGACAGAAGAAAUAUUGGAUAAGUAAUUUUCUGAAUUUGGAAAACCAGAAAGAGCAAAGAAGUUGAAAGAUUAUGCAUUUGUUCAUUUUGAAGACAAAGGAGCAAUGAAUGAAAUGGAUGGAAAAGAAGGAGAAGGGGAAAAAUUGAAAGUCUUACCUAAACCCCCAGACAAGAAAAAGAAAGAGCAAUAAGCAGCUGGUCAGGCCUCCAGAAGUAUUAUGCAUGAAGAUUACUACUAUCACCCUCCUCCUCGAAUGCCACCUCCAAUUAGAGGUCAAGGUCAUGGUGGAGGUAAAGGUGGAUAUGUCUACCCUCCAGAUUACUAUGGCUAUGAAAAUUACUAUGAUGAUUACUAUGGUUAUGAUUAUCAUGACUGUUGUGGAGGCUAAGAAGAUCCCUACUAUAGCUAUGAUGAUGGCUAUGCAGUAAGAGGAAGAGGAGGAGGAAGGGGAGAGUGAGGUGCUCUACCACCACCAAGGGUGCAGGGAGCACCACUGCCAAGAGGUAGAGCUGGCUAUUCACAGAGAGGGCCGCCUUUGGGAUUGUCAACAGGCUCUAGGAGUGGCAGAGGUGGUCCUGCACAACAGCAGAGAGGCCAUGGUUCCCGUGGAGCUCAGGGCAAUCAUGGGGACAAUGUAGGAAGCAAGAGAAAGGCAGAUUGGUACAGCCAACCUUAUUCCAAGUGUUGUCAGACCAAUAACCAACAGAACUGGGGUUCACAACCCAUCACUCAGCAGCUGCUUCAGCAAGGUGGUGACUAUUCUGGUAACUAUGGUUACAAUAAUGACAACCAGGAAUUUUAUCAGGAUACUUAUGGGCAACAGUGAAAAUAGAAAAGUGAGGGCUUGAAAAUGAUUCUGUCAAGAUACGAUUGGCUCUGUAUCUACAUUCUUCAAAAAAAAAAUUGACUUAACUGUUUCAUCUUUAAGUAGCACUUCGCUGCCAUUUGUAUGGGGCUGAAGAAUCACUAUUGUGUAUAUACUUAAGUCUUUUUAUUUUUCUUUUCAUAAAUGCUCUUGAACAUUAUUGGGCUUGCAGAGUUCUCUUAUUUUGGGGGUUACAAUGCUUUUAUCAUUUCAAGCUCCAUUUUAGUUUCAGAACAAGUUGUUAAAUCGUAGUUUUGCAGAACCUUUGGUUUGGACAG